UAAUACAGAGGUCCCAAGCGUUGUUCGGAUUCAUUGGGCGUAAAGGGUGCGUAGGUGGCGGGGCAAGUCAGGUGUGAAAUCCCGGGGCUCAACCCCGGAACUGCAUUUGAUACUGCCUUGCUGGAGUACUGGAGAGGAGACUGGAAUUUACGGUGUAGCAGUGAAAUGCGUAGAGAUCGUAAGGAAGACCAGUGGCGAAGGCGAGUCUCUGGACAGUUACUGACACUGAGGCACGAAGGCCAGGGGAGCAAACG
rnacentral:rRNA from 1 species